CCCAGGAUAACACUAGCAUGCAGGUGAAUGCACAACACCUUGCAGCAGCUGUGACAAUUCUCAUCUCAGCUAGUCUUUAGUUGUAGCUGGCAUGAGCUACUGAAACUACUCCAUGACAAUUCUAACAGUAGGAGGGUGCUUACUUUGAGAAAAUCCCUCCAAACACCUCACUUCUGUGUAGAUAAGUAAGUCCACAGAUACUCUUGGCUCCAGGGAAAAAGGAAUAGCAAAAACAGACUUUCUAAUUGGCUUCCAGUUUGGGCAGUUAUGUUUUGAAUAUAUUAAAACAGAACUUGGUUGUGCAAAGAUGUACCUAAAGAGCAAGAUUUCAAGUCGACUAGUUUAGAACCUGCAGGAGAUUGGCCUUGGCUGGUCACCCGAGUGCCCCAGCCGCUGUAACACCCUAUCCCCUUCCCAGGGAGAGAAAGCAGGAUAGAGAACCCAUGAGGUCAGCAGAUGGAAGGAGGGAGGGAAAAAGCAAGCAGAACAUGCAUGCCACAGCCUGGCUUCAGUCAUUUGGCAGUCAGAGCAGGGCCUUCCCGAGACCCUGUAUACGUGCUGUCUCCUGAGUGCUGGUGGAGAAGACCUUUGGACCAAUGUUUUCUGGUGUCUCAGGAAGAAAUGCAAGGCAAUGCCCAUCUCCAUCAGACAAGUUUGAGCUAGUGCAUGACUUUCUGAUGGGGGAUCUCAGUAUAACUAUCUACUUAGGCGCAGUAAAUAUUAAGUAGCUUUGAUAUAAAGGAAAAUGAUAUUUAUUUAUUUUUUGCCA
rnacentral:lncRNA from 1 species